AGAACGAACGCUGGCGGCAGGUUUAACACAUGCAAGUCGAGCGCCCCGCAAGGGGAGCGGCAGACGGGUGAGUAACGCGUGGGAACAUACCCUCCGGUUCGGAAUAGCUCAGGGAAACUUGGAUUAAUACCGGAUACGGCCUAGCGGCGAAAGAUUCAUCGCCGGAGGAUUGGCCCGCGUUCGAUUAGCUAGUUGGUGAGGUAACGGCUCACCAAGGCGACGAUCGAUAGCUGGUCUGAGAGGAUGAUCAGCCACAUUGGGACUGAGACACGGCCCAAACUCCUACGGGAGGCAGCAGUGGGGAAUAUUGGACAAUGGGCGCAAGCCUGAUCCAGCCAUGCCGCGUGAGUGAUGACGGCCUUAGGGUUGUAAAGCUCUUUCGCUAGGGACGAUAAUGACGGUACCUAGACAAGAACGCCCGGCUAACUUCGCGCCAGCAGCCGC
rnacentral:rRNA from 1 species